ACUUUGAUACACUUUUGAUAUAAAGUUGAUGCACUUUGGUCCAUUCGAUGCGUGAUAUUCUUAUUCCUUCAUUGCCUCUUCAGAGGUGUGAGCUAAUUAUUCAUGUUUUGACUUCUCAAACUACAAUAAUCUAGGAUGUUUCAUACGGUUGUCUAUGCUAUGAUAUGGUCAGUUGGUAACAAGGAUAGCAGACUUGGGAAAGUUUUCAUAUGAUUCACCACGAAAGUCACACAUUUGCUCUGUAAAAGAAAGGUUGAAAGAGUUGAUAUGCUGAGGAGUGUUAGAAUGGAGAUUAUGAUAAGAACAUCACAAAGAUGUAUUGCACAACAUUCACAGCUUCAUAAAGGGACCAGGAACUUUAGACACAAAGUGACAUAUACACGCUUUGCAACUUCGAAGGAGUAGACAAGAAUUUCAGCAGCAGAAAAAAGGCGGAAUAUCCUGUCAAGCUUCAAUUCGGAUUGAAAGAUGAAAUCAACUAAGCGUUCACAAAUGUGGUCAAUUUGACACGAACCGCUGUGUCGACAAGAUAAAUCCACGCAGCAAAGACACUGGACAG